UGCCCCAUGGCUGAGUUGGUUACAGCGUCCGACUGUUACUGCGACCCAUGUGCAUGUGAGCUUAAGCAUCGGAAGGUCGUGAGUUCGAGCCUCACUGGGGCAG